CCGACCCACCACUAGUAGAAAAAUUAAAAAUGCCACCGCUUAAAGGCCAUCGGUUUUUAUAAACCGGUGGUUUAUAAAAUGGGCGGGUAUAAGGCAAAUAUUAUUGCCACCGGUUCAAACCGAACCAGUGGAAAAAAUGUUUAAGGCCACCGGUUUUGAACCGGUGGCAAUAUUUGAUUAAAAAAAAAAGCGCGGCCCUUCUUCUUCAUAUAAACCCCAAACCCUACUCUCUCACCCUCUCAGCCGUUUCUCUCUCCCCUCUUCCCUCUCCUCCUCUUUCUCUCUCCUCUCUUUCUCAUCUCCUUCAAUCGGUCUUCUCCUUCGAUCUGCACCACCACCACCACCUCUUCUCAUUCUAUCUCCACCACUAUCUCUUCUCCCUCAAUCUCCACCACCAUCUCUUCUCCCUCGAUCUCACCACCACCUCUUCUCCUUCGAUCUCCACCACCACCACCAAUUUUUCCACCACCCCCGCAACAAUAACACCACCGCCGCUAAAAUAACACCACGAACACAUGCAUGAGCAACACCGACUUUAAUCGAGGUGUUAAUUGAUGCAACAAGAUUCAAGACUUUGAUUUUGGAAUAAUGUUUUUGAUAUUGUAAUUAUUAUUAUAUAUAUUUUUUAUUUUGUAUUGUACAAUAAUAAUUUGAAGUUGAAUUUCAUUGUUAUUAUAAUUCA